rnacentral:rRNA from 1 species
GAAUCCGCCAAGGAGUGUGUAACAACUCACCUGCCGAAUGAAUUAGCCCUGAAAAUGGAUGGCGCUAAAGCGGGCAGCCGACACCAUGCCGUCUGUUUAAGGUAGAUAACAGAUGAGUAGGAGGGCGUGGUGGCCGUAUCGAAGCGUGCGUGCGAACGCGUGUGGAACGGCCACUAGUGCAGAUCUUGGUGGUAGUAGCAAAUAUUCAAGCGAGAUCCUUGAAGGGCGAAGCGGGGAAGGGUUCCACGCGAACAUUGAUUGGGCGUGGGUGAGUCGUUCCUAAGCCGGGUGGUCAUUGCUAAAUAACGGCGAAAGGGAAGCGGGUUUAAAUUCCCGCACACGGAUGUGGAGGCGGCGACGCUUUGUUGGGGCGAAGACGCCGGCGGUGGCGCUGGGCAGAGAUGUCUUUUCUGUUUAACCAUGCUGAGUGCGGUGUGGAAUCCGCUUGUCGGGAGAAACACGCACACGAGGUAAGAGCGCCGGGACUUUUCCGGCGUCCAGCUCGCCAUCGACGGCCCUUGAAAAUUUGCCUGCUGGAAGGAUCCACGCCGUGGCGUACCGAUAACCGCAUCAGGUCCCCAAGGUGAACAGCCUCUGUCCAGUAUGAAUAAUGCAGGUAAGGGAAGUCGGCA